rnacentral:rRNA from 1 species
GCUGCGCUCAGCUAAUCGUUCUUGUUGCACAGCGUUCCCACCUUCACGGGUGGGGGGAGGGAUGCCACAAAACGCCGGUGGUGUUUCCCCCUAGAGCUGUGUUGAGCAACACAAACGGCUACAUUCUUUAACCAACACUUGCUUUCCAAUAACCAAUUGGUCACGAUCCGUGCAACACGCCGUGACAAGUCAACAUGACAACUCUCAACGACGGAUAUCUUGGCUCUCGCAACGAUUAAGAACGCAGCGAAAUGCGAUACGUAGUGUGAAUUGCAGAAUUCCGUGAACCAUCGAAUUUUUGAACGCAUAUUGCGCUCAAGGCCUCGGCUAAGAGCAUGUCUGCCUCAGCGUCGGGUUCCCCGUCUCCCCCUCUCAGAUUUAAUCUGGAAGCGUGGGAGGACCGAUGGCAGUCUGGGCAUUUAUUUGCACGGUCUGCCCAAAUGACAUGUGGUGUUUCCUUGUGUGGGCGAGAUCAUUCACUUGGUCCCGUCCUAUCCAAGCCGCACUCGAGUAUUCAUCUUGUAUGUCUCUCGACCUCGACGGUUUGCUCAAUGAACGUGACUUAAACCUCACGCACCCCUCCACAUAGCAUUGGAAACCCAACACUUCUCGACUGAGCUCAGGCAAGAUUACCCGCUGAACUUAAGCAUAUCA